UACGUAGGUGGCAAGCGUUAUCCGGAUUUAUUGGGCGUAAAGGGAACGCAGGCGGUCUUUUAAGUCUGAUGUGAAAGCCUUCGGCUUAACCGGAGUAGUGCAUUGGAAACUGGGAGACUUGAGUGCAGAAGAGGAGAGUGGAACUCCAUGUGUAGCGGUGAAAUGCGUAGAUAUACGGAAGAACACCAGUGGCGAAAGCGGCUCUCUGGUCUGUAACUGACGCUGAGGUUCGAAAGCGUGGGUAGCAAACAGG
rnacentral:rRNA from 1 species